rnacentral:rRNA from 1 species
UACGUAGGGCGCAAGCGUUGUCCGGAAUUAUUGGGCGUAAAGAGCUCGUAGGCGGUUCGUCGCGUCGGCUGUGAAAUCCCGAGGCUCAACCUCGGGUCUGCAGUCGAUACGGGCGGACUGGAGUUCGGCAGGGGAGACUGGAAUUCCUGGUGUAGCGGUGAAAUGCGCAGAUAUCAGGAGGAACACCGGUGGCGAAGGCGGGUCUCUGGGCUGUAACUGACGCUGAGGAGCGAAAGCAUGGGGAGCGAACAGG